rnacentral:rRNA from 1 species
AUUGAACGCUGGCGGCAUGCCUUACACAUGCAAGUCGAACGGCAGCAUGGAGAGCUUGCUCUCUGAUGGCGAGUGGCGAACGGGUGAGUAAAACAUCGGAACGUACCGUGUAGUGGGGGAUAACGUAGCGAAAGUUACGCUAAUACCGCAUACGCACUGAGGUGGAAAGCAGGGGAUCGUAAGACCUUGCGCUAUACGAGCGGCCGAUGUCAGAUUAGCUAGUUGGUAGGGUAAAGGCCUACCAAGGCGACGAUCUGCAGCGGGUCUGAGAGGAUGGUCCGCCACACUGGGACUGAGACACGGCCCAGACUCCUACGGGAGGCAGCAGUGGGGAAUUUUGGACAAUGGGGGCAACCCUGAUCCAGCCAUGCCGCGUGGGUGAAGAAGGCCUUCGGGUUGUAAAGCUCUUUCGGCCGGGAAGAAAUCGCACAGGCUAAUACCCUGUGUGGAUGACGGUACCGGCAUAAGAAGCACCGGCUAACUACGUGCCAGCCGCCGCCGUAA